rnacentral:rRNA from 1 species
GACGAACGCUGGCGGCGUGCUUAACACAUGCAAGUCGAACGGAAAGGCCCUGCUUGCAGGGUACUCGAGUGGCGAACGGGUGAGUAACACGUGGGUGAUCUGCCCUGCACUUCGGGAUAAGCCUGGGAAACUGGGUCUAAUACCGGAUAGGAGCCAUUUUUAGUGUGAUGGUUGGAAAGUUUUUUCGGUGUAGGAUGAGCUCGCGGCCUAUCUGCUUGUUGGUGGGGUAAUGGCCUACCAAGGCGGCGACGGGUAGCCGGCCUGAGAGGGUGGACGGCCACAUUGGGACUGAGAUACGGCCCAGACUCCUACGGGAGGCAGCAGUGGGGAAUAUUGCACAAUGGGCGCAAGCCUGAUGCAGCGACGCCGCGUGGGGGAUGACGGCCUUCGGGUUGUAAACUCCUUUCGCUAGGGACGAAGCUUUUUGUGACGGUACCUAGAUAAGAAGCACCGGCUAACUACGUG